rnacentral:rRNA from 1 species
CAGCCGCCGCGGUAAUACGGAGGGUGCAAGCGUUAUCCGGAUUUAUUGGGUUUAAAGGGUCCGUAGGCGGAUCUGUAAGUCAGUGGUGAAAUCUCACAGCUUAACUGUGAAACUGCCAUUGAUACUGCAGGUCUUGAGUAAAUUUGAAGUGGCUGGAAUAAGUAGUGUAGCGGUGAAAUGCAUAGAUAUUACUUAGAACACCAAUUGCGAAGGCAGGUCACUAAGAUUUAACUGACGCUGAUGGACGAAAGCGUGGGGAGCGAACAGGAUUAGAUACCCCUGUAGUCCCUGUCUCUUAUAC